UUUUUGCAACAUAAUUGAAUGAAUGAUUCACCUAGGGCUUAGAACCAUAAAUUGUGAGGAAACCUCCAUUGUACACUAAAAUGCUGGAUUCUAAUAAACUGUGUUGAUUCAUUUGAUUCAUGCUUUAUCUUUUAUUAUUGUGAAUUUGUGGAAGCAAUUAGAAAUGAUCAAGGUGCUUGUUUUCUUUCGAGCACAACCAGUU
rnacentral:lncRNA from 1 species